AGCCCAUAAAUGCAAUAUUACCGUAAAAGUUUGCCAUAAAUACACUAGGUAUAGGCGUUUAUUCUAUGUAGUUUUCAUAACACUGGAUAUUCUACUAAUUCAUACUUUUCUAAUACAUUGCCUAAUGGGCAAUUAACUUAUUUAAUAAGUACAUAUUUUGUGCUAAUUGCUAGUAUUGUAUGGGGUCAGAAUUGUUGCAUUAUUCCAAAUAAAUAGAUUAUUAUCCAUAAAUAAAUGUAACGAGAUUCACAAAAAUAUAUCAAAUUCACAAAUAAAUGUAAAGAGUUUCACAAAAAAAUAUAAAACGCACAAAUAAAUAAAAUGAGAUUUGCAAAUAAAAAAAUAUAUAUUUACAAAUGUGUUUAAUGUCACAAACACAACUCUACCUGGCAUUUAUUUGUGCACCGCUGUCUGUGCAUUUGUAAAUUACUGCACGCAUUUGUGGAUCGCUUCCUGUGCAUUUGUGGAUUUGAAACACUUCUAGCGUCGACGUGCAGAUAAAUCCACAAAUAAGUGGACUCCACCCACCGUCUACUUAACCCAAUCAGACAACGCCCAUGUUGCACUGACCAAUCGCAGCACGCUCUCUCUCCAACCAAUCACGUUUUGCCUAACAACCAGGGCGGGAUCAGACACAUGAACGCGAGUCACUCGCUACAGUCUCUUCAACAUGGCCGAUCAAGAGGAGUAAAGACAGGACAGUGAGGCAGCAAAUGACAGACUAAUCCACUUUCUGAAGCUUGGAUUACCCCAGGAAAACAUCAGUAACAUUUUAGGUGUCACUCAUACAACUAUCGUUCGUCGGAUGAGAGAAUGUGUUUGGCCAGAGAGAGAAUCCAAUAAUUAACCCUGAGAUGGAAUAUUCAGACUCAAUGGCAGUUGAACAAGAUGGUGGAGAUGCUGACCAUGUUCACUUUGCAGUCAACGUGCCUGUAAUUCACAGGCCACAACUCACAAAUGAGCAAAUUGACCCACUGCAAGUGUCUGAUUCAUUUGGAGUAGAUGUAUACCUCAAGACUCUCACAUAUGUACAGACUUUGAUUGAAUAAAGGGAUAUUUGAAGGUUUAUUUCUGCUGCUCUAAUUUUGACAGCAAGGUUGUAAAUGUGUAUAUAUAGUUGUAUCUUAAGUAAAACUUGUGGAAACAACCUUUUAAGACAUGUAAAAUAAUUAAAUUUAUUUUAAAAUGUUA